rnacentral:rRNA from 1 species
UGGGGAAUUUUGGACAAUGGGGGAAACCCUGAUCCAGCCAUCCCGCGUGUGCGAUGAAGGCCUUCGGGUUGUAAAGCACUUUUGGCAGGAAAGAAACGUCGCGGGUUAAUACCCCGCGGAACUGACGGUACCUGCAGAAUAAGCACCGGCUAACUACGUGCCAGCAGCCGCGGUAAUACGUAGGGUGCAAGCGUUAAUCGGAAUUACUGGGCGUAAAGCGUGCGCAGGCGGUUCGGAAAGAAAGAUGUGAAAUCCCAGAGCUUAACUUUGGAACUGCAUUUUUAACUACCGGGCUAGAGUGUGUCAGAGGGAGGUGGAAUUCCGCGUGUAGCAGUGAAAUGCGUAGAUAUGCGGAGGAACACCGAUGGCGAAGGCAGCCUCCUGGGAUAACACUGACGCUCAUGCACGGAAGCGUGGGGAGCAAACAGGAUUAGAUACCCUGGUAGUCCACGCCCUAAACGAUGUCAACUAGCUGUUGGGGUCUUCGGACCUUGGUAGCGUAGCUAACGCGUGAAGUUGACCGCCUGGGGAGUACGGUCGCAAGAUUAAAACUCAAAUGAAUUGAC